rnacentral:rRNA from 1 species
GACAGAGGGUGCAAACGUUGUUCGGAAUUACUGGGCGUAAAGCGCGUGUAGGCUGCUUCGCAAGUCGGGUGUGAAAGCCCUGGGCUCAACCUAGGAAGUGCACUCGAAACUGCGAAGCUUGAGUCCUGGAGAGGAAGGCGGAAUUCUCGGUGUAGAGGUGAAAUUCGUAGAUAUCGAGAGGAACACCGGUGGCGAAGGCGGCCUUCUGGACAGUUCCUGACACUGAGACACGAAGGCCAGGGGAGCAAACGGG